GAAAGAGUCAGAGAAAAGGAAUAGAAC
rnacentral:rRNA from 1 species